GCAGGACCACAGUCGUGCAUUGAGACAUCUUUUUAUUCCGUGCCUUCCUACCUGUUCAGCAAGUGUUCUGGCUAGUCUGAAGGUUGGUCCAGUCAUUGAUACUUCACCAAAAUGAGACAGCCAGGUUUGUCUGCAAUCUGAGGGCAAAGCAGUGCUACAGCCACCCACUGGACAACACCAGCUCAUCACCCACCUCUUUAAAUGUGCUGCAAUCAAAGCUGCAGUUUAUGGGAAGUGUUCAAUGGGAAUACUGAAGACAAAAGUGCCUUAGUGAGGAAGAAAGCAAAAACCACCCAAAGGCCAGACUGAGGGGUGUCUGAGUAUUUACAACUCAUACACAUCUUGGGCAACAGAAAAAGCUGGGGUUGAGGUGGCAGGUGGACUUCAAAGUUAUUCCAAUGCCCUUUCCCUGAAUCAUUACAUGGGCAACAAUCUGGCUUCCCACAGAGCUAUCCUCCCUUGUGCCCUUGUCUGUAUAGGGCAGCCAACACCUCCUCUGUUGGAAAUGCAACAUGUUUGUAAAUGCUUUACCCACUGACAAAAUCACUUUUGUGUCUUGCUGCUAGUCAUCAGGACCAGCUCUGAACUCAGCAGUUCUUCUAAGACAUGUGUCUGUUCAUCUGCCUUCCUCGUUCCCAGCGAGCACCCAAAGGACACAUUAAAUAUAACCUCAGACUCUGGUACAGAAAUACAUCACGAAACAUGACCCUCAGGUUCAUGUAUCCAGGUUUUGGUAGCAGCAGAGGUGCAGGGGUGGCUUCUGUGAAGACAUCAGGAACUGUCCCUGUGGCAGACAGAACCAGUUCCAGCAGGAUGCAGAAAAGAUCUGCCACUGGUCAAAGCUGAGCCACAGCUCUCCAGAUGUGGCAUCACCAGUGUGGAGUAAAGGGGAAGGACCUUUAAACUUUGCUACCACUCCAAACAAAGUGGCUUCCUCAAAUACUGUAAGAAACGGAGCUAUUCCUGUCCACUAGCCCAUCAGACCAGCCCAUGAGGGAGAUGCCUGGUGACUGGAGGGAGGCAGAAGAACUGAAGCUAAAUACAAUGGUCUAACUGAAGAGACCUCAGUGCAUUUCAGUAGGCAUAGGCUUAGGCAGAAGGACUUCUCAACCCUGGGCUCAGAUCUGUAAUAAUUUCCUGACAAAGAAAUCACAGAAAUAUUUUAUAGGAAGUACCAUCAAGAAGUCAUCUAGUUCACUUCCUUACUAUCCAAGAUUUUUCCCGGAGCUCCUAUUUCCCCAGAGUCAGCUGGGUGUUCACAGCAUUUUGAGGUGAAGGUACGUUUUUUUUUUUGUUUGUUUUCAGUUGGUGCUAACUGGAGUAAUCGGAUCAGUGGUGAAUCGCCGGUUUCAUAAAUCUAGUGGGGAUAGGAUAUAGGGGAUAAUACAGACAGGAUUAUGUAAAAGAUUUGUAUCUUCAGCAAAUACUGAUUUCCACAGUGCCUGAUCCUUAACAGUAAGCUACUGUCUUCCAGCACCUGGCUGCCUUGCAAAGUAGUCAGUUUGAGUGCCUUGAUAUGCAAAAUACCACAGCUAAUCUAGUCAGACAAUCCUUGAUCAUUUUGUGACUUCUUAAAGUAAAUAAGUAUGUAAAAGAAUGUUCCUUAGUACACGACUGUUUUAAUAAUCUAAUGAAAGGCACUGCAGUUUGGAAGAGCCUGGUAAAUGCAGCAGUCUUCUAAAUAUUUUAUUCCUGUUUGCAUCCUAUUCCUAAAGCACUGAUUCCCGUGAUUCAUUACUGCUCUGUAUGGAUUGUCUCCCUGAACACUUCCUUUGCCAUUGAUCCCUGUUUCUAUUAAAACAAGGUCAUUCCAUUCCUUUCACUUUCUGCUGUUCUCUCUUCUGUUUAAUUCACCUCAUUAUUUUGAUACCAUCCUUAUCCUUCCUUACAAAGCAUGAGGUUCAUCUCCUCUUCCUUGACCUGCUCAUCCUCCUACACACAGCCCUAUUAAAUUUCCUCCCUCCAACAGAGCCUCCUCCCUCUGAAUCCUACACAAGCAUUAAUUCAGGGGGAGCUUUAUUGAAAAGAAAAUGAGAUAGCAAAAAAAUAUGUGUGACGGAUAAAAAUAGAAGGAAUUAGUAGUUAUAAUAGAAAGGUUUCAGGUGAGCCAAAAUUAAUACAGGAUCCAAAAUGUACAUAGGCUGGUUUAAAAAGAAGAAAAUGAAAUACAGCAUGAAUUUUCAGAGACACCCCAUGUCCCUUAUUUUCUUUCCUUUUUGUGUAGCCACCAGUUGCUACGCAGUCCCUGGGAAACAAUGACUUAGCCAAAAUCCUCCGGCUUGUCUAUUCUCUUCUAACUGUUUUUACUUCACUGUUGUGAUCCAGAGAAGUACUAAAAGCCAGAGGGAGAUUAUACAACUUUUGUGUUCAUUGCUCAUUACAGGACCAUCUCUAAUCUUUGUUGUUCAAACUAUACAAUAGAACUGAAAGACUGAAGUAAUACAUACCAACAGUGAGCUGUUCGUUAUUAUCAGUAUAAUACUGAUAAUAAUACAAGUUUUUCUUACUUGUUUCUUUCUGUGAUGUAGCACAGGCCUGUAACUGCAUUUACUCCGCAGAUCUUAAUCCAGCCUCUGUGAGAAGUAAUUUGUUGGGGAUUUCAAAACAUCCUCUGAGAUCAUACUAGAGUUUUAUGCAGAAAACCUCUCAUAAUCCCUCUCAAAACUCUAAUAUGGAGCUAUUUCUGGAUCUUAUGCGUCUUUUGGACCAGGCUUGGCUGGAGAGUUCGAACAGUACAUGGGAAACAACUGUGGUGCAAGCUGUGUGUAAUGAGGGAUGGGCACAGCUGCAGCCAGGCUGGGAGCAGCUGCUUCCACAGGCUCGCAGAAUCCUUUGGGUCCAGCAUAGCAAGGUAAGCACAGGUGCAAAGACACCUCCCUCCAGCACACUCUGCAAGUUUACAGAUGUCUGAUCUGAUGAAUAUGGCAUUUAAACUUCGCUUUCAGUGAAGAAACAUGAUUUGUAGUGUCUUCUGUUUGCUCAUGCCAUGCACCUUUGUUUUGCCCAAAAACAACGUAGGGUUUACUGCCAAAGCAGAAAACAGAGCAAAUGUGUCUUACAGCGCUGCCAGAAACUGGAUUCUUAAGAGGACUUUCACAAUUACAAUUAUAUCUUUUAGUACAAAUGAGAGAGUGGAAAAAAGGGUAACAAAUCAGGGUGCACACUCAAAAGGAAAAGUAAGGAGUGCUCAUUAAAAGUAGUGCACAAUGAGGUGUUUCAUAAAUUUAUUCAGAAUUUGCUGUGGUACAAGUUCAUGAGAUAUUUCCUGCUAUAGCUUGGGUAGUGUAAGGAAUUACACUGACAUUUUGAAGACCCUAAAGAGAUGAGCUAAAGCAGCUUCUUCAGCUCAGUACCUGCAUAAUUUCCUUAGAGAAUGGAAAUGCAUUUUCCAGUGCCACCUAGCUGGGACUCAUUAGGCAUUCAUUUAUUAAUUCUGUGCUUCUAAAAACACUGAUAGCAGCAAUUCACCAGUGCUGAAAAUGUGAUGCUGACAAAUGAAGAGAUAAACUGAUUACACUUCUAAACAAAAAUGAGGAAAAAUCACCAUAUGCAUUUUAAAAAAUACAUUAUAAAAAAGUAAAAUUCUACAUUAUAAAAAUGCACUGAAGUAUAUUUAAAAAAUAAAACAAUACCAUCUAACAUACUGAAAAAACCUUCACACUUGAUCAAAAGAAAACUUCCUCAAAGCUAAUCUGUGCUUUGGGAUGACGUUGCUCUCCUGAAGUAAACACUGAGAGGACCUCUCAUAUUUAAGGUCAACAGUAUUUAAAAACAGCUUUUUAAUUUGGGUUUUUAUUUCUAGCCAAGGAUUUUUAAAGAAGCUCUUAAUGACAGAAUAUUAGAAUCAUUUAGGUUGGGAAAAACCCUCUGAGAUCAUCGAGUCCAGCCCUAAACCCAGCACUGUGCAGUCCACCACUAAACCAUGUCCCCCAGUGCCACAUCUACAUGUCUUUUAAAUACCUCCAGGGAU